UGGCGGACGGGUGAGUAACGCGUGGGUAAUCUGCCCCUAAGUCUGGGAUGACAGAGCGAAAGCGCUGCUAAUACCGGAUACACUUCUUUUGUCGCAUGGUGAAGGAAGGAAAGGUUACGCUUAGGGAUGAGCCCGCGUCCCAUUAGCUAGUUGGUGAGGUAAAGGCUCACCAAGGCGACGAUGGGUAGCCGGCCUGAGAGGGUGGACGGCCACACUGGGACUGAGACACGGCCCAGACUCCUACGGGAGGCAGCAGUAGGGAAUUUUCCGCAAUGGGCGAAAGCCUGACGGAGCAACGCCGCGUGAGGGAGGAAGGCCUUCGGGUCGUAAACCUUUGUCAUCGAGGACGAUAAUGACGGUACUCGAGGAGGAAGCCCCGGCUAACUACGUGCCAGCAGCCGCGGUAACACGUAGGGGGCGAGCGUUGUCCGGAAUUACUGGGCGUA
rnacentral:rRNA from 1 species